rnacentral:rRNA from 1 species
GGACUGGGAUAACCUUGGGAAACUGAGGCUAAUACCGGAUAGGCAAUUUUUCCUGUAAUGGUUUUUUGUUUAAAUGUUUUUUCGCCUAAGGAUGGGUCUGCGGCCGAUUAGGUAGUUGGUUAGGUAAUGGCUUACCAAGCCGUUGAUCGGUACGGGUUGUGAGAGCAAGAGCCCGGAGAUGGAACCUGAGACAAGGUUCCAGGCCCUACGGGGUGCAGCAGGCGCGAAACCUCCGCAAUGUGAGAAAUCGCGACGGGGGGCUCCCAAGUGCCAUUCUUAACGGGAUGGCUUUUCUUAAGUGUAAAAAGCUUUUGGAAUAAGAGCUGGGCAAGACCGGUGCCAGCCGCCGCGGUAACACCGGCAGCUCUAGUGGUAGCUACUUUUAUUGGGCCUAAAGCGUUCGUAGCCGGUUUAAUAAGUCUCUGGUGAAAUCCUGUAGCUUAACUGUGGGAAUUGCUGGAGAUACUAUUAGACUUGAGACCGGGAGAGGUUGGAGGUACUCCCAGGGUAGAGGUGAAAUUCUGUAAUCCUGGGAGGACCGCCUGUUGCGAAGGCGUCUAACUGGAACGGUUCUGACGGUGAGGGACGAAAGUUAGGGGCGCGAACCGGAUUAGAUACCCGGGUAGUCCUAACUGUAAACGAUGCGGACUUGGUGUUGGGGUGGCUUUGAGCUGCUCCAGUGCCGAAGGGAAGCUGUUAAGUCCGCCGCCUGGGAAGUACGGUCGCAAGACUGAAACUUAA